rnacentral:RNase_MRP_RNA from 1 species
AGCAACAGAGAAGAUCUGCACUUGACGUUAAUUAAUUAUACAUACUGGAAUGUUCAUCAUUCGAUACAUUUUUUACGUUAGGGAAGGUCUCCAGACUAUUGUGGCUCUUUUGUAUAAAAGAGCUAUACCUGUAAUGGGUAUAAAAGAUGCGUUGCCUCUGGUUAGCGUGCUUUCUCUAUCUUUUGGCAAAAACAAAGUUUGAGUUUCAGAAGCUCUAGAGAUUGCUAUUUCACUGGUCAUAGUUAUAGUUAUUGCGGAUACUAUUUCUCUUGAUCUUUCUUUGUAAAGAACAUGAGAAUAGUUAACAGAAUGGAGACUACUCUCUCAAGUUGC